AACGAACGCUGGCGGCAUGCCUAACACAUGCAAGUCGAACGAGACCUUCGGGUCAAGUGGCGCACGGGUGCGUAACGCGUGGGAACCUGCCCUUAGGUUCGGAAUAACUCCCCGAAAGGGGUGCUAAUACCGGAUAAUGUCUUCGGACCAAAGAUUUAUCGCCUUUGGAUGGGCCCGCGUUGGAUUAGCUAGUGGGUAGGGGAAAAGCCUACCAAGGCGACGAUCCAUAGCUGGUCUGAGAGGAUGAUCAGCCACACUGGGACUGAGACACGGCCCAGACUCCUACGGGAGGCAGCAGUGGGGAAUAUUGGACAAUGGGCGAAAGCCUGAUCCAGCAAUGCCGCGUGAGUGAUGAAGGCCUUAGGGUUGUAAAGCUCUUUUACCCGGGAUGAUAAUGACAGUACCGGGAGAAUAAGCUCCGGCUAACUCCGUG
rnacentral:rRNA from 1 species